ACUGCCCUCCUGGCUGAAGAAGAAGAAGAAGAAGCACAGAGCGAAGAAACGCUGGCAAUACGACCCAUCGAACGGUUCACAGAAAGAUAACAGAGCAAUAGUCUCAAUCUCUACCCUCGACAGAUGGGAGAACGCCCAAGAGUCAAGCGACCGACUUCAUCGGUGCAUUCUUCCUCUCCGGGGACCGACGAAGAUGAAGAUUUUUUGCGCUUGCUAGCUGCAAACAUGGCACGAAUGACUCCAGAGCGGAGUCUUGAGUUCCAGCAGCAACUUAUGGAGCUCCUGGAAAUUUUUCUAUCUGGCGAUGAUGCAGAGAUUGAAAUACUCUAAAAGUCCAGAACCAGAUCUAACCGUCACUUAGGGAAUGAAGAAUGUACAGUAUACUGGGAAGGUGAACCACAACACUCUUUGUACUGAUAACCAACUCGCAUUGUGAUCCUUUUAAUAAACCGUGCUCAUCAGAGCUUAUGCAUUCCCACCACGCGA